rnacentral:rRNA from 1 species
UACGUAGGGGGCGAGCGUUGUCCGGAAUCAUUGGGCGUAAAGAGCGUGUAGGCGGCUUGGCAAGUCUUGCGUGAAAUCCUGCGGCUCAACCGCAGGCGGUCGCAGGAAACUGGCUCGCUAGAGUCCGGAAGAGGAGAGCGGAAUUCCUGGUGUAGCGGUGGAAUGCGCAGAUAUCAGGAAGAACACCCGUGGCGAAGGCGGCUCUCUGGGACGGUACUGACGCUGAGACGCGAAAGCGUGGGGAGCGAACAGG